rnacentral:rRNA from 1 species
UCCUACGGGAGGCAACAGUGGGGAAUUUUGGACAAUGGGGGCAAGCCUGAUCUAGCCAUGCCGCGUGUGUGAUGAAGGCCUUAGGGUUGUAAAGCUCUUUCACCAGGGAAGAUAAUGACAGUCCCUGGUAAAGAAACCCCGGCUAACUCCGUGCCAGCAGUCGCGGUAAUACGGAGGGGGUUAGCGUUUUUCGGAAUUACUGGGCGUAAAGCGCACGUAGGCGGAUUGGAAAGUAAGGGGUGAAAUCCCAGGGCUCAACCCUGGAACUGCCUUAUAAACUAUCAGUUUAGAGUUCGAGAGAGGUGAGUGGAAUUCCGAGUGUAGAGGUGAAAUUCGUAGAUAUUUGGAGGAACACCAGUGGCGAAGGCGGCUCACUGGCUCCGAUACUGACGCUGAGGUGCGAAAGAGGGGGGAGCAAACAGGAUUAGAUCCCCUGGUAGUCCCUUUCCCUUUCUAUGAAUGCCAGACGUCGGGGGGCAUCCCCUUCGGUGUCACACCUAACG